CAUUUUCUUCUCCCAAAAUGGUAGUAGCCUUUAACAUGAAAAAGAAUGUACUAACCUUUAUCUUAGUCGGUAUGAUAGCCAGGGCUUUGCCAAGAUACAUAGAGGCUCAAAUUUGUGGUUGCGCCAAAGAUCAAUGCUGCAGCCAAUGGGGUUAUUGUGGUACUAGCUUUGACUAUUGUGGCACGAGUUGCCUAGAGGGCCCUUGUUACACCUCACCUCUAGUGAAUGGUGUUAAUUUGCCUGAUAUUGUGACAAACAAAUUCUUCGAUUGGAUACUUGAUCAGGCCGAAGUAAGUUGUCCUGGGAAGGACUUUUACACACGAGCAACGUUUCUUGAAGCUCUCAAAUCAUUUUAUGGAUUUGGUAAACGCAAGAUUGCAGCCUUCUUUGGCCAUGUUACACAAGCGAUUGGACAUUUUGAUGAGCCUUAGGAGGAUUUUGUUGAAGCACCCUACAACUCAAAAUAACGGCCAUGGGCUUACUAUUAUAGAGGUUAUUAUCUAUAGUCAAAGGUUUAUUGUUAUGUUUGGCCUUGGAUUAAAUGAUUCUUGUGAUUGGCGCAACCAUGCUUGAGUGGUGGUCACUAUAUACGGACGUCAUCAGCGGCGUGGGCCACCCGAGGUCAGACUUGGUCAGGCUGCUAAUGAGAGACAGUAGCGUAAAAUAUCUGGGCAUCAUUUUUGUAUGACAGGUCCCUCGGGACAGCGCCAAACCUGUUGGGAAGGGGUUAACAUAUUGGGUAGACCAAACGGAAUUGAACUAUGACACGAUUUUCUUGUUAUGACAUGUAUUUUAUUUAUAUAUAUUGCAUUCAUGCUCAUUUUAUCAAAUGAAGAAUUAUAAUUGUACAUUUUUGUACUUGACUUAUACCUUUACUUCUGAGUUCACUUCAUGAUAAUAUGUGCAUCAUGUAUAUUAUCGCUUACUAAGUC